UAUAAAGACGCAAAAAUCAGAAGUAUAAUAAUAUCCAUUUAUGAAAGUUGCUAAGAUUCUAGUAAAUCCAACACAAGCAGCAACGACUGUUUGGCCAAUCCCCCAUACUAAUGCAUAUAAUGGUGGCAUCUGAUGACUUGAUGCACGAUA